rnacentral:rRNA from 1 species
UACGUAGGUGGCAAGCGUUGUCCGGAAUUAUAGGGCGUAAAGCGCGCGCAGGCGGUUAUGUAAGUCUGAUGUUAAAGCCCGGGGCUCAACCUCGGUUCGCAUUGGAAACUGCGUAACUUGAGUGCAGAAGAGGAAAGUGGUAUUCCACGUGUAGCGGUGAAAUGCGUAGAUAUGUGGAGGAACACCAGUGGCGAAGGCGCCUUUCUGGUCUGUAACUGACGCUGAGGCGCGAAAGCGUGGGGAGCAAACAGG